CCUGUACACAUUUCUCUCUUUCUUCUCACUUCUCAUUCUCCAUCUCUUCUUCUUCUCUCUCUUACGCCUUUCCAUAUUCAAAAUAUUCAAAUGACACAGAGAAAGCCAAGAACAGCGACGGGAGACGGUAGAAAGAAGAAGAUCCAUCUGAGAACCGAAGAAGAAUGCACAGGAGGAGGAAGAAGAAGAACUACACGGGUUAGUGAUGAAUGGAUCUUUUCUCUAAAAUCAUCUCUAUGAAAUCUGGACCAUAUGACAAUUGGAGUUUCUUCUUUGUUUUCACAUUCUUCAUCUAUUCACGCUAGCCGAAAUGGAGGCCAAAGAUCAAAGCUUCAUCUACAUCUUCAUUUUUGGAGACUUCUACUUCUACGAUGAUGGGACUAUUGCAUUGGUCUAAGAAAACAAAGAGAUAAUUACGCAGUUACACUCCAACUCUAACUUGUGAAUAGCAGGAGACUUUUACUUCUAUGACGAUGAGACUAUUGCAUUGGUUUAAGAAACAAAGAGAUACUUACACUCCAACUCUAAAUCCCACAAAAUCUGCCGAAAGUCUUGGUCUGGUAACUAUCCCUCCCUUCCAUUCUUUCUUAUUACCUUUUUCAAAGUCAUUUUGUAAGAUUCAAUUAUUUAUUUAUUUUUGUCUGCGUUAAGCUUGAGGAAAU